rnacentral:rRNA from 1 species
AUUGAACGCUGGCGGCAGGCUUAACACAUGCAAGUCGAGCGCGCGGCGGACGGGUGAGUAAUGUCUGGGAAACUGCCUGAUGGAGGGGGAUAACCACUGGAAACGGUAGCUUAUACCGCAUACCAUCAGAUGUGCCCAGAUGGGUUUAGCUAGUAGGUGGGGUAAUGGCUCACCUAGGCGACGAUCCCUAGCGGGUCUGAGAGGAUGACCAGCCACACUGGGACUGAGACACGGUCCAGACUCCUACGGGAGGCAGCAGUGGGGAAUAUUGCACAAUGGGCGCAAGCCUGAUGCAGCCAUGCCGCGUGUAUGAAGAAGGCCUUCGGGUUGUAAAGCACUUUCAGCGGGGAGGCGUUACUCGCAGAAGAAGCACCGGCUAACUCCGUACCAGCAGCCGCGGUAAUAC